GGUUUGAUUAUGGCUCAGAUUGAACGCUGGCGGAUGCUUUACACAUGCAAGUCGAACUUGGCAGCACGACUUCGGUCUGGUGGCGAGUGGCGAACGGGUGAGUAAUGUAUCGGAACGUGCCUAGUAGCGGGGGAUAACUACGCGAAAGCGUAGCCAUUACCGCAUACGUUCUUCGGGGGAAAGUGGGGGACCUUCGGGCCUCGCAAUUAGAGCGGCCGAUAUCGGAUUAGCUAGUUGGUGGGGUAACGGCUCACCAAGGCGACGAUCCGUAGCUGGUUUGAGAGGACGACCAGCCACACUGGGACUGGAGACACGCCCAGACCCUACGGGAGGCAGCAGUGGGGAAUUUCGGACAAUGGGGGAAACUUGAUCCAGCCAUCUCGGCGUGUGCGAUGAAGGCCUUCGGGUUGUAAAGCACUUUUGGCAGGAAAGAAAACGGCACGGGAUAACACCCCCCGUGCAACUGACGUACCUGCAGAAUAAGCACCGGCUAACUACGUGCCAGCAGCCGCAGGGAAUACGUAGGGUGCAAGCGUUAAUCGGAAUUACUGGGCGUAAAGCGUGCGCAGGCGGUUCGGAAAGAAAGAUGUGAAAUCCCAGAGCUUAACUUUGGAACUGCAUUUUAACUACCAGGCUGAGGCCAGAGGGAGGUGGAAUUCCGCGUGUAGCAGUGAAAUGCGUAGAUAUGCGGAGGAACACCGAUGGCGAAGGCAGCCUCCUGGGAUAACACUGACGUCUAUGCACGAAAGCGUGGGGAGCAAACAGGAUUAGAUACCCUGGUAGUCCACGCCCUAAACGAUGUCAACUAGCUGUUGGGGCCUUCGGGCCUGGUAGCGCAACUAACGCGAAGUUGACCGCCUGGGGAGUACGGUCGCAAGAUUAAAACUCAAAGGAAUUGACGGGGGACCCGCACAAGCGGUGGAUGAUGUGGAUUAAUUCGAUGCAACGCGAAAACCUUACCUACCCUUGACAUGUCUGGAAUCCCGAAGAGAUUUGGGAGUGCUCGCAAGAGAACCGGAACACAGGUGCUGCAUGGUUGUCGUCAGCUCGUGUCGUGAGAUGUGCUGCCAAGUCCGCAACGAGCGCAACCCUAUUGGCUAUUGCUACGAAAGGGCACUCUAAUGAGACUGCCGGUGACAAACCGAGGAAGGUGGGGAUGACGUCAAGUCUCAUGGCCCUUAUGGGUAGGGCUUCACACGUCAUACAAUGGUCGGGACAGAGGGUCGCCAACCCGCGAGGGGGAGCCAAUCCCAGAACCCGAUCGUAAACUGGAUCGCAGUCUGCAACUCGACUGCGUGAAGUCGGAAUCGCUAGUAAUCGCGGAUCAGCAUGUCGCGGUGAAUACGUUCCCGGGUCUUGUACACACCGCCCGUCACACCAUGGGAGUGGGUUUUACCAGAAGUAAGCAGCCCCAACCGUAAGGAGGGCGAUUACCACGGUAGGAUUCAUGACUGGGGUGAAGUCGUAACAAGGUAGCCCCAGCGAGCUACCCGGAUGCUCCCAGGAGCAAUACGUAACCUGAUCCAGC
rnacentral:rRNA from 1 species